rnacentral:rRNA from 1 species
UACGGGGGGGGCAAGCGUUGUUCGGAAUUACUGGGCGUAAAGGGUGCGUAGGCGGUGCUCUAAGUCGGAUGUGAAAACUCUGGGCUCAACCCAGAGCCUGCAUCCGAAACUGGAGUGCUAGAGUUCUGGAGGGGGUAGCGGAAUUCCUGGUGUAGCGGUGAAAUGCGUAGAUAUCAGGAGGAACACCGGUGGCGAAGGCGGCUACCUGGACAGAAACUGACGCUGAGGCGCGAAAGCGUGGGGAGCAAACAGG